rnacentral:tRNA from 1 species
GUUCCCAUAGUGUAGUGGUUAUCACGUCGGCCUAACACGCUGAAGGUCCUCAGUUCGAUCCUGGGUGGGAACAACA